AUCAAAAAGUCUACAAAUAAUAAAUGCUGGAGAGGGUGUGGAGAAAAAGAAACCCUUCCACACUGUUAGUGAGAAUGCAAAUUAGUACUGCCAUUAUAGAGAACAGUAUGGAGAUUCUUCAAAUAACUAAAAAUAGAACUACCAUAUGAUCCAGCAAUCCCACUCAUGGUCAUA